GUGUUUUAAUGGUUGCAUUUUCCCAACAGAACAUGUUGAAGAUCAUGUAGGUGAGUAAUCAACGCCAUAAAAUAGCUACCCCAUUUCCAUUGCUAUGGACAAGUCCUCAUUGUGAUUUUCUUGAUUCUCGGUGCGACGUGCCGGUUUAUCACUGUUGAAUGGUGAAAUUCACUCCAUCUCACUGAAACACUACUGUGAUAUACAUACGUAGUUAUUCCUUCCACUGUUUUCCUUCACUGUGUACACUCUUGGUUUUGAGCAGUUUCUAUACAUUUACUAACUCUACCCUCACAGUUUGCAGGGCAGGGCAUUAUUUCUGUCUCUGUUUUACAUACAGAAAAUAAGACAUAGGUUGUUCCAAGGUGACAGAGGACGUGACUGGCAAGGGGUGGCAAAAGCCCGGAUGUCCUGAAUUGGAGUCUAAUGUUUAAACCAUAAGGCCAUCAUUCCUCAAACACUUCAUCAGAGGAAAAGACAUGUCAGUGACUCUGUUCUGCAUUGUUUCCUGAGAUAGAAGACUUCCCAAGGUGUGCGUAGGUUGAGACCAAACACAAAAACCUCCUACUUCAGGUGCUGUUCUCCAACAAAGAAUUACUCAUCUCACUCCACUAGAGAACUUGGCCCUUGCUAGUCAGUAAGAAGACCUUGAGCAAGCAGAGGAAUCUUUUUCCUGCCAAGCUGUCUUCCCGAGCAGAGGCCAACUUGUAGCGACGCAGUGUGGAGAUGAGUCAGUGAGAAAUGGACUUAGGUAAACACUGUUAACUGAUGUUACAGAAAUUUCUGCCGUGUCUCCAGAGACAGCUGCAUUUAUUUCUUCAUCCAAGAACCACUGAGAUGGGGAGGUAUUUGAACACUCCUAAUUGAAAUCCUAGGGUAUCUGCUGGUCUUCUCCUUAUAACUUUUACCCCUGCAGAUUUCAG